rnacentral:rRNA from 1 species
UGCAAGUCGAACGAAGACUGUAGCAAUACUGUCUUAGUGGCGAACGGGUGAGUAACGCGUGGGUGACCUGCCCCGAAGUGUGGGAUAACAGUCCGAAAGGAUUGCUAAUACUGCAUAAUAUCCAAGAGAUUAGACGCUUUUGGAUUAAAGGAGUAAUUCGCUUCGGGAGGGGCCCGCGUCCCAUCAGCUAGUUGGUAAGGUAAUGCCUUACCAAGGCGAUGACGGGUAGGGGACCUGAGAGGGUGGCCCCCCACAAUGGAACUGAAACACGGUCCAUACACCUACGGGUGGCAGCAGUAGGGAAUAUUAGUAAUGGGCGAAAGCCUGAACUAGCAACGCCGCGUGUGCGAAGAAGGCCUUCGGGUUGUAAAGCACUUUUUGAGAGGAUGAGGAAGGACGGUACCCUCAGAAUAAGUCUCGGCUAACUACGUGCCAGCAGCCGCGGUAACACGUAGGAGGCAAACGUUAUCCGGAUUUACUGGGCGUAAAGCGCGUGUAGGUGGUUUGGUAAGUAGGGCGUGAAAGCUCCUAGCUCAACUGGGAGAGGACGUCCUAAACUGCCAAGCUUGAGGAUGGUAGAGGGAGGUGGAAUUCCGGGUGUAGCGGUGGAAUGCGCAGAUAUCCGGAGGAACACCAGUGGCGAAGGCGGCCUCCUGGACCACUCCUGACACUCAGACGCGAAAGCUAGGGUAGCAAACGGGAUUAGAGACCCCGGUAGUCCUAGCCCUAAACGAUGUAGACUUGGCGUCGGUGGUUUAAUCGCCAUCGGUGUCGUAGCUAACGCGUUAAGUCUACCGCCUGGGGACUACGGCCGCAAGGUUAAAACUCAAAGGAAUGACGGAAGGGCG